CAACGAGAACACGCGAGGAAAUUUUAUUAGACGAUUUGCGUGAUGAAAUUGUAAUAAUAUAGUAGAUACAAUCAAUUUCUAGUGUAGAUGCCACAAUGUUUCGCUUAGGUCAAGGUUCAUCCCGCGAAAAACUUACCGCUAAGGCAAAAUAAUCGAAAUCGAUCGAAUUGUUUCUUAUCCACGACAUGACUAUUGUUUUGUCCGUAAUGUAUUAUAAUAAUUGCAGAUAAUAAAAUAAAUUUCAUAACUUAGGCAAUUAAUGAUUCGAUAAAGGGUUUAAGAAAAUAAUUCAUUUGUUCUAUUAAAAGAAUUCUUCGCAACUUGUCAAAAAUUCAUAUCAGUAUUUUUUCGCGAGCAUUGCUAAUUAAUAUGAUCGAUUUCGUUUAAAGUGCACUCGAAUGCGCUAGUUUACACGAGUUUGUUUACGAGUGCAUUUGCGUAUCUAAUUGUACACUUUAUCUUCUUUUUAUUUCUCUUAAUCGACGACCGCUGCGCGCGUGUGUUAUAUAAAUUUCAGAUUAUUUCGGUCCGGCAUCGUGUAUUUGGCGAUGUGCCAAGGGUUGAACUAACUGCACUAAUAACGCGGCACGAUACGCACACUGGCGGUUGCAUAACAGGUAGCCAAAGUGGAGGGCAGUAUGUAAUAGAUACAACUAUGACGAUGACGACGAAGCGCGCCGGUCGGUUGGUAUAAUGAUCGCGCAGCUCAUUAUUAUGUAAAUUGCAUUAACAGCGAUAGAAGCACGCCCUAUUUCAACGUCGUUAUAACGUAUGUAAAGUUGCGUCGCUGCAACGGGAACGAAUCUUGCCCAUAGUAUUAAAUUCGUGCGUCUACGAAUUAUUUUGAAAAUCGUCACGAACGAAGAUACAGCGACGAGGUGCAUUCAUAUUUUGCAGUGGUCUUCCUCGUUAAACGCGUGAGAGAAAAAGAAAGAGAGAGAAAGAGUGAGAAACAGAGUACAGACAACUUACGGGUAUAGGUCAUUUGGCCCUGGUAGUAAGAGGGAAGGUACACGUGUUGCGCGUGCGGAGGCUGCCCGUACACAUUCAUGGCUGCCGUGCCGAUUUCAUCACCACCUACAUACAUCGUACACGCCGUCGAGUUACAGCAUUUGGUUUAGCUUUACUCUCCAGUAGCAGAUUGAUGACAAGCGUAUGACCUUGUUGCGCCGCUUGAUGAAGAGGUGUAUAGCCAGCAUUGGUGCUGCUAUCAACAGCAGCACCAGAUCUUAAAAGAAAUCGUACCAUAGCUGCUUGACCAAAAUGAGAUGCCACAUGC